rnacentral:rRNA from 1 species
UACGAAGUGGGCUAGCGUUGCUCGGAAUUACUGGGCGUAAAGCGCACGUAGGCGGAUUGUUAAGUCGGGGGUGAAAUCCUGGAGCUCAACUCCAGAACUGCCUUCGAUACUGGCGAUCUCGAGUUCGGGAGAGGUGAGUGGAACUGCGAGUGUAGAGGUGAAAUUCGUAGAUAUUCGCAAGAACACCAGUGGCGAAGGCGGCUCACUGGCCCGAUACUGACGCUGAGGUGCGAAAGCGUGGGGAGCAAACAGG